rnacentral:rRNA from 1 species
AAUAGAUACCCAGGUAGUCCACGCCGUAAACGAUGAGUGCUAAGUGUUAGGGGGUUUCCGCCCCUUAGUGCUGCAGCUAACGCAUUAAGCACUCCGCCUGGGGAGUACGGCCGCAAGGCUGAAACUCAAAGGAAUUGACGGGGGCCCGCACAAGCGGUGGAGCAUGUGGUUUAAUUCGAAGCAACGCGAAGAACCUUACCAGGUCUUGACAUCUCCUGACCGCCCUGGAGACAGGGUCUUCCCUUCGGGGACAGGAUGACAGGUGGUGCAUGGUUGUCGUCAGCUCGUGUCGUGAGAUGUUGGGUUAAGUCCCGCAACGAGCGCAACCCUUGUCCUUAGUUGCCAGCAUUCAGUUGGGCACUCUAAGGAGACUGCCGGCUAAAAGUCGGAGGAAGGUGGGGAUGACGUCAAAUCAUCAUGCCCCUUAUGACCUGGGCUACACACGUGCUACAAUGGGCGGUACAGAGGGUCGCGAACCCGCGAGGGGGGAGCCGAAUCCCAAAAAAACCGGCUCUCAGUUCGGAUUGCAGGCUGCAACUG